GGACGAACGCUGGCGGCGUGCUUAACACAUGCAAGUCGAGCGGUAAGGCCCUUUCGGGGGUACACGAGCGGCGAACGGGUGAGUAACACGUGGGUGACCUGCCCUCAGCUCUGGGAUAAGCCUGGGAAACCGGGUCUAAUACCGGAUAUGACUCCAUGACGCAUGUUGUGGGGUGGGAAAGCCUUGUGCGGCUGAGGAUGGGCCCGCGGCCUAUCAGCUUGUUGGUGGGGUGAUGGCCACCAAGGCGACGAC
rnacentral:rRNA from 1 species